UACAGAGGGUGCAAGCGUUAAUCGGAAUUACUGGGCGUAAAGCGUGCGUAGACGGUUGCAUAAGUCAGAUGUGAAAGCCCCGGGCUCAACCUGGGAAUUGCAUUUGAGACUGUGUAGCUAGGGUGCGGAAGAGGGAAGCGGAAUUUCCGGUGUAGCGGUGAAAUGCGUAGAUAUCGGAAGGAACACCAGUGGCGAAAGCGGCUUCCUGGUCCAGCACCGACGUUCAGGCACGAAAGCGUGGGGAGCAAACAGGG
rnacentral:rRNA from 1 species